AGAAACAGGCUGUCUUUGAAUUUUACUUUUUUUUUUAAUUAUUAUUUUUUAUUUUUUAUUUUUUUUAAGACCUACAAUCAUUUUCACGUUAGUAUAUUUUGUCUGGAAGAUAUUCAACAAGGCUUCUUAAGCUUACUUCUAUUAUCCCUUCAGCUAAUAUAGCAGGUGUCUUCUCAUCAAGUAAAGAAACCACCAAAUUCUUCCAAGAAGUUUGACUGACAUUGUGGAUAAUUGAGGAGGACAAUCAUGCCUGCUUGCUCUCUUGAAACAGAAUACCAGUCUGUCAUUACUCAUGUUCAUGAUUGAAUAAGUUUCAGAAGCUGUUUUGAGACCCAGACUUACAUGGCUGCCCACCUGGGACUAUGCUGUGUUGUGCAGGAACACAAUACACUGUUGUCUUCAAUGAAUUGAAAGAAAUAAUGCUGUUGCUAUAAACAAAAACCAUAGAAAAUGUGAAGAAGCAUGGAUGUGAGGACCUAGCACAGUUUUAAACUGCUCUAACAGAACUGUUGUUAUGCUGUUGAUAUUGGUACUGGUUGGGACUUCCAACCUGGCCAGCAGGAAGGAAACACAUAUGCUCAGUCUCAUGAAUUUUCAUGUAGUGUGUUCACUACUGCAGGAAUCACCAGUGCACUGUUGGUAUCAAGAAGAAGAGA